UGCACAGUCUAACCUGGAAAGACACUUUACGCAUCUUAUAACGAAAAUAUGAUUAUAUCGUUAACUGAACACUUGUCGGUGAACUGGUUGGUGAGGAGCGUGGUAAUGGUAAUGACAUGAGAUUGAUGGUUACAUGUCAAUUAACAGGUUCGCAUUCAUCAGACUUUCUAAACAAAGAAUUAUGUUCCGCUGAAUAUUUUUUACAGCGUAAGAAGAUACCAUGCAUGCUUUCGUUUUUGUUUACAUGAACACGAAACGUAGGGUAUUAGAACACCGUUACACCUCCAACGUAUUAAAUUAACAAUAUUAAACGCACUACAAGUCUAGGUUAUGGAUUACGUGAUAAACCCGACCCAUUUGUAGAUUCGGUGGCCAUUUUCGAGACAGAUAACGCUAUUGUUUUGUUUGUGUCAAGUAUAACACAAGCACGUAAAGGGAACAAACAAAAUUCUUGCUUCUAGUUCGCAAUAUUAUUCGUUGAGACGGUCGAUUGCGGAGAGUCUUAACUUCCUCAUAAACUAAUCAUGUUAGCGAAUGUUUAAUCGGGCCUUGUACAGGGUCAGAUCAGUGGCGGAAGGCGUCUCCUUCUGUUAACCUUCGCGAGGCUGUGGAAGACCUCCUUCUCCUUGACGUUGACAACUCUGAUGUCGUUCUCCCAGCAGUAAGCCUCGAUCGGCUUCUGCUGAAUGUGCGCCGAGAUGCAAAUAAAACCUGGAAUAUAUAAA